rnacentral:lncRNA from 1 species
CUCAUUGUUCAAUAAUUUGAGUUUUAUGUGGUUUCUACGAUAUUUGUAGUUUGUAAUGGUAUUUAGGGGUGGUGAUUUUGAUUUAGGUUUCCUAAUUGCAUGCUUAUUUCAGUUUGUGGUAUUUAGUGUUUUCUUUAUCCUCUUUUAAUAUCACCCCCUCUGUUUAUUUAUUUAUUUUUACUUCACUAAUAUUUCUUCUUUUGAGUUUGACAUCCUUGUGCUAUCAAAAAAAAAAAGUUUGCCAUCCUUAUAUUAAAAUUGUACGUUAAUGCUUGCAGCAAAUGUCAACAAGUUAUCUUCUUUAGAUGUUACUUCAAGUGUCACAGAGAAAAAGACUACAAUAAGGCCGUCAAAUGCUAAAGGCUUUUAUAGCUCUUCAGCGUUAGUGUCCGAAAACAGACAUGGCAAUGUGGAGAAGGAUACCUGUUGUAAGGUUUCAUUUUCUAUCUAUAUAUAUAUGGUAGCUAUUAUGGACUUUAGUAAUUGAACCCAUCUAAUUUAAUUGGGUUACAUUGGGGUAAUUGAUGUAAUUAAUGUUGGGCUUAUGGUGAUGGCUUAUAAGUGACUUGUGGUUUUAUUUGGGCUAUUGAAUAUGGGCCGUUAUAAUUGUUAUUGGGCUUGUAGUUGGGAUUGUGUGAAAUGGGUUUUAAACUAGAAAUUUAAAAAAAGGCCUAAGGGCCUAAAUUGUAAUUAUUUCUCCAAGAUUCUUAAGCGUAAUUUUUUUGAAGGGAAUAACGCGUAAAAUUCCCUGCAUAACUGUUGAAUCCCCAACAUCAUCAUCCCAGACAUCAUCAUUACCUUUCUUUUUACUUUGGCUAUGGUUGUGCAUUUAUCGCUCUUGAAGUAUCAAAGCUCUCUCGGUCCCAGUACAGUCUCCUUCUCUAACGCAAAUUCUGUCUCUUCUCUCUCUGUCUGUGUGUUUGAAACCACAUAAGGUUUUGAGUUUAUAGUGUUAGAUCGGAGUGAGUAGAGGUGAUGUCAAAGUGGUGAUUUUGGAGAGAAAUAUCGAUCAAUGGGGUGUUCAAUAUCGAGCCAAAAUAUCAGAGAGCGAAGUAUUUUGAUUCACUCAUCUCUUCAUUUUUGGAGCUUGCUUGUGUUUAAUUGAGGUAAAAGGGGGUUAGUGUGUUGGGGUUUACUUUGGGUUUGUUGUUAAAGAUUAUAUCAAGUCUUGAGCAUAUUUGGAUUAAACUAACAUAUAAAAUUUGAUUAUAAUGAAAAUGGUAAAACGAGGGUUUACUUGUGGGUAAGGUUUUCUCGACUAGGCACACCAUGGGAGCUUCGGCGUUGUUUGCAAGAAGAAGGAUGGAUCGCUUAGACGUGUGUAGAUUAUCGACGAGUGAAUCGUGUGACGAUAAAGAACAAGUAUCCACUCCGAGGAUCGAUGACUAUUGAUCAAUUGAAAGGUUCGAGUGCUUCUCGAAGAUCGAAUGAGGUCGGGUUUCACCACUUGCGAAUUAAGGAGGGGAACAUUGCGAAAACGGCUUUUCGCUCACACUAGGCGAUAUGAGUUCUUGUAUGCCAUUUGGUCUUUAAACGCACCAGCAACUUUCAUGAUUUGCUGAAUCGUAUUUCUUCAAUCACAUAUCUUGACUGUUCGUGAUUGUUAUUCGUGGACGACAUCUUGAUCUUACUCGCCAUUGGUUGAGUCACAUGAGGAGCAUUUGAGGAUGUGUUACAGCUCUUGCGAGAGCAACGUUUGUAUGCUAAGUUUAGCAAGUGCGAAUUUUGGUUUACUGAGGGGAAGUUAGUUCUUAGGUCAUGUUGUGUUAGGGAAGGAGUAGCUGUGGAUUCAUCGAAAAUUGAGGCAGUGAUGAAUUGGAACGACCAAAGACCGUAUUGAGAUUCGUAGUUUCUUGGGUUUAGCCGGUUUACUACCGACGUUUGUAGAGGAGUUUCAACGUUUAGUGGCACCGAUUGACGCGAUUACGAGAAGGGAAUCAUUUUAUUUGGAACGAUACGUUGCGGAGCAUUCUUCAAGAACUUAAGGAAGAGAUUUGACUCGGCACCGAUUCUUGUUAUACCUGAGCGAGAGUUGGGGAGAACGUGUAACUGCAAUGCUUCAUGUGCUGCUUGGGUUGCGUUGCUGAUGCAGUUGGUAAAAGUGAUUGCGUAUGGCUCUCGUCAAUGAGGACGCACAAACAGAAUUAUCCGACUCACGACUUAGAGCUUGCGGCGGUUAUCUUUGCGUUGAAGAGGGGGAGACAUUACUGGUACGGGAGCAUUUUGAAGUGUUUUUUGACCAUAAGAGUUUGCAAUAUCUGUUUACGCAGAAGGACUUUGAACAUGAGGAGCGACGUUGGAUGGAAUACAUGGAGGACUACGAUUGUGAUUUAAAUAUCAUCAGGGAAGGCCAAAUGUGUGGCCGAUGCGCUUAGUAGGAAAUCUAUUAACACUUGGCGAGUAUUCUAUUAGGAGUGGAAAAUGCUUCAGGAUACAGGUGGUAUGACUUACUUCUUCAGCGAGACGGGUGAGUCUGCCUAACGUUAUCACAUGUCGGCAGAGCCAUCAAUCAUUAGUAGGGGUCAUUGAGGAACAACAGAGAUGUGGAGCAAAGACUAUUUUGCGACCGCAUUUCUAGAGGUAUAGGCCCGACAAAUUGGGUUUUAUACGAGGAUCAGGGUUGAGAUAUAAGUCUAGAUUGUUUGUGCCAUUAUCUAGUAGAAACGACGACUCGUGAGUUUCAUCAUUCGCGACUUUGACAAGUUCAUCCUAGAGAGAACAAGAUGUAUCAUGAUUUAUCUGUCGUCAGUUUUGGUGGAGGCGAAUGAAGAAAGACGUUGCGUUAUUCGUUUCUAGAUGUUUUGACUUGUCAGCAAGUGAAAGCAGAAACAUCAGAAAACCAGGGGUUGCUGAAAAACCAUUACCAGGUGCGGAGUGGAUGGGAAAUGGGAACAUAUCACGAUGCGACUUUAAUCUAGUUUGCCUAUAGGUCUUCAUGCGGGGGCAUGACACUAUUUGGGUUGUGGUCGAUCGUUUGUUUGCAAAAUCCCAAUUUUCUUCCUAUCCGUCUGUCGAUUCAACAGAGGAUCUUGGUGUGUCUAUGUUCGUGAGAUGGUUUUUAGAAUGACAUGGGUUUCCUGUAUUUAUCGUUUCUGAUAGGAUUUCGGUUUUACAUCGCCUCUUUUGGAAGGGGAUGAUUGCAAUCCGCUCUUGGGAUCGAAUUGAGGCUGAGCACUGCGUUUCAUCCUCAGGACUGAUGGGCAGUCGAGCAGUACGAUUCAGAUUUUGGAAGACAUGCUUCGGAAUGUGUACUUGAUUUUGGGGGAUCAUGGGAGGUCACCUACACUUGAUGGAGUUCGCGUAUAACAAUAGUUAUCAGGCGAGUAGAAAAUAUGAGGGCACCUUUUGAGGCGUUGUGUCUGGAGGACCUGGUAGGUCACCCAUUUGCUGGAACUGAUGUUGGAGAGGGCAGCACUUGACAAGACGGAUUGGGUUCGUUGAUACAAACCGGAAAGUAGUUUUGAUCAGGAGCGUUUACUCACGGCGGCAGCGUCGUCAGAAGAAUUAUGUGAUUGAGAGGAAAAGUCAUUUGGAGUUUGCCGUGGGGAUCACGUAUUCUUGAAGAUUUCACAAAAGAGGGGAUUAAUGCGUUUUGGGCAUAGUGGCCAAACUAUCUCCAAAAUUUAUUGGGUCCGUUGAGAUCUUGUGAUCGAUAUUGGGGCCGCUGGGCACUACCGUCUUGCUUUGCCACCGAGAUGGCCCAAUUGUACGGAAUGAUUAUUUCAUGUUCCAUGUUAUGGAAGUAUGAACCCGAUCUUCGCACAUUUUGGAUUGGGGGGACCUUACAUCAGUGCGUAUCACGUAUUGAGGAACACGACCAAUUCGUGUGUUGGAUACACGGGAUCCAAGUUUAGAGGGAAGACCAUUCAUUAGUAAAGAUUUUGUGGUUUUCAUCAUGGCGUAGAGGAAGUUACGUGGGAGCGUGAGUCAAAGUCGGUGCAAAGUAUCCAGAUUAUUUUAACUAAUCUGAUAAGAUUUUGUAAUUUCGGGACGAAUUUCUUAAAUGGGGAGGUUAUGUUGUCACGACCCGGUCAAACAAGACCAGGCCACGUAAGCAACAACCUCACAUACGGAAAAGUCAAACUAAACAAUAUGGACAAAUAUACUGUCCAUUACAGCAGAGUUACGAUUAAUUCCUUCUCAUGGAUCAUACUCUCAAUGAUAUAUCAAGUACAAAAUUAAAGAUAAUAUUCUGUAGACAAUAUAAUAAAAUUUCAUUUAGAUCGGAUGGCAUCUCACCGUUAUGAGGACAAGGGCGAGAGAGGGGAGGAGAAGAGGACGAAAUAAAAGAAGAGAGGGGAAAAAAGGGAGAAGGGAAGGCUAAUUCCGCCUCUUUCUCUCGCGCCCAAUCUCUCUUUAUUUAUUUAUUUAGUUAUUUUAUUAUAAUUUAUUUGUAAUAAAGUAGAAGAUUGGUGUCUGCACAAUCUUUUUAUUAAAAAACGAAAUUUCAUUUUUUUACCACCAACUUAAAUGUCCUUUUAAUCUGAUCCCAAAAGUUAUUAUUUUUUUCAAGUAAACUCAAAUUGUAAUUUAAUGACUGAAUAUAAUUUUAACGAUUCAUAAAAAAAUACCAAGCAUAAAAAUUUAGUCAUUACAAGUUUACCCCAUCGGGCCAAAUGAACAUUACAACUUUUUCAAGAAUAAACAUUUUAAAAAAUAACAACCGCAUCCCAUGCCUCACGAAUCAGGAUAAAACCUGGUGGCUACACCGGAAAUUAAUUUUAUAGUAAGGUAAGUUAUCUUGAAAAAAGAUUUUUAAAAUGGACUGAAUGGUUCAAGCCCUAAAAUCUAUAUACAUAACAUAUAAUGAAAACAUGAUUCAAUAAAAUAUGCUUUUAUUUAAUACCAAAAAUAUACUUUUGAUUCAAUCCCUGAUUUUCUCCAAUCAACCAGUUCUCAAUUCUCAGUUUUUCUCAAAAAGUAUAUUUCAAUCCUUUAAAAGACAAUAUGGAAUACAUUUUUCAAGUUGUGAUUUCUCAAACGAGAAGUUUCUAAAAUUC